AUCAUAAAGUAACACAAAGAGACAUUCAAGACAAGUCAUCAUCUGGACUGCGGCAUCCAGACAUCCAUCAAAGCCCCAAUGGUCAGGGCAGAGGCUUGCGUGACGGAAAACACAAUGCUCUGGUAAAGUUGAACACAGACUAGACACAUUUACCCAUCAAUCUCUGUCAAAAUAUAAAAAAUAUCUGACCAACGUAAAUGAAGGAACAGUGAUAGGGGAAAGCGGAGAAUGUCCCAUAUCAACAAAGUCAGUAUGGAAGAAGCAUCAAAGGGGAGAUCAAAGCAGGAAUGAGACAAUAAACCAAACAGCUAGAAGUCCCUCAGCAACAUGUGUCCUCAAGUCCUCUUCUGAGAUGAACGGCUUCCAUCUGAGCCCAAAGAGAAGAUCACAGGAGACUUGUAGCCUUGGACUGCUUUCCCCUAUUUGCGUGAGAUCCCUGAGGAGAAGAAAUCUUGUAAAGCUUCACACUACCUGUGGAUGGAUGCCAAAACCUGACUUGUGCCCCAUUCCUUCAUGGGUCCCAUUGAAGAAGCCUUGCCUGCCUCUAUGAUAUGUAUCACAUUGUUUGUCCGGACACCUGAGGAUCGGAGUGACUAUGUAAAUCAAUACGACUCUCAAAAUAUUAACUGUCGAUGACACUUUUCUCGAGCAAAUUCAUAUGGACCCACCCCCAUAGAUUACAGCAUUUCUUAACAUUUGUAUUUGUUUCACCAUUUCAUUUCCAGUUUUUGUUUGUUUGCCCACAAGUCUCAGCACCACAUCCACAUUUCAAAUGCUCUCCUAAAGAACUGUGUAUUGUGUUUUUCUGGGUUCAUGAAUAGAAUGCCAUACAUACAGUAGAGACUGACACACAAGCAGAGCAAUAGUUGUUAAAAUAAAUGGAGAGUUGAUCUAAAACAAUUCAGAUUUGUAUUGGCGGCCACUAGUGGUUGUCGCCCACAAUUUGUUUCGGAGAGAGUGAGAAAUACGUUCAUAAAUACAUUAAAAAAUAAUAUUACAAAAUAAUAACAGAAAUAAAUCUAAGACUUAUUUUCCAGCAUUUUUAAGCUACAUUUUACUUUUUUAGACAGUUUUAUUCUCUUGAGAAACCUUCAGAGAUUUCCAUCUGCCAACUUUAGGGCCGGAAUUAUUACAAUCAUCGUUUCUUCGAACUCCACACACGGCCUAUAGAGAAUUGGACCUCCUCGUCUGAUUGCCUUAGAGCAGAUGUUUCCAUUCAUGUAGAUGAUGUAACAUCGUCUGGUGAUAUGGUUUUUGGCUUUUUGCUAUCUGAAGUCAUUUUUUAGUAUGAGUAUUUCCCACACCAUUAUCCUAUAUACAGCCAAAUGAAGCGCUGCUCUGAAGGCGUUCCAGGGAGCUUCCGCUUACUCAUACAGCUAUGCGAACGGUUCAAACAUAUUUAUUUGUUCAUUGAUACAACUACGUACGACAACAUUAUUAUCAUAAGACUCAUUAAUCAUUUCUGUUCUUACUAGGUAUAGAUGAGACACUGUUCAAAAUCCUCUAUAUAGCAGGGAUCAGCAACCUCCGGCGCUCCAGCUGUUCUGAAACUGCAACUCCCAGAAUCCUCCUUUCACUUCUAUAGGAGUUACUAGAACAGCCAAGAAAAUGUGCAUGCUGGGAGUUGUAGUUUCACAGCAGCUGGAGUGCCAAAGGUUGCUGCCCCCUGCUAUAUAGGAUCAGAGUCAAAGGGGUUGGCAUUUAUCAUGUAGAGAAAGUUAAUACAAGGCACUUACUAAUGUAUUGUGAUUGUCCAUAUUGCAGGCCAGUGAUUUCAAUGGAACUUACAAAAACUAAGGAUACCUGCCAGUCACAUUGAAAGGGGUGGAGUUGGUACUACUGUAAUUUGGCAAAACCCAGCGGACACUUGCCAGCAUGGCGCUAACAUGAAUGAAAGUUCUAGCUAUGCUACCGCUAUGGAAUGUUUGCACUUGUUACAUGUUCCUUUACUAUUGAUGGACUAUCCUCAGGGUAGACCAUCAAUAUCUAAUCGCAAAGGGGCCGACACCCCUCACCCUGUUGAUCCAGAGUAGCUCCGAUGCUGGGAUUAAACAGCUCUGCUCCGAUUCACUUCAAGGGGCGUGGCGAUAACCAGCUCCGCCCAUUACACAAUGGACAGCGAUGUCUAGUACCGGUGCCAACUUCCAGCACCAGAGCUAAUACAGAAAAGUGGAUUGGCAGGGGUGUGAGGUGCCGGACUUCUGUUGAUCCGAUAUUGAGUGGACAACCCCUAUAAAAUUCAAGUCUACCUGAAUCUUUCACCUUGAUGUUGGUGAUGUCACUGAGUGAAAUUAUAAGUUGCAUCCAAAUGGGUUAAGCCCCCUUCUCUUGGGAAACAGUGGAGGUUCAGCCCAUAGACCUCAAUUUAUUUGUUCUUAUGAAAUGUACCCUAUGAUCUAAAAAAUAUGCAGAAUACAGGAAAAUAUACCGAGCAUUGCAAAUAAUAUUAGGCUGAUCUUCAUGUAACGUUAUAACCUAUAAUCACACUACACUAUAACAUACAUAGAUAGAUGUGGACAUAAUACGGCCCCCUAAUUUUCAUAUCAUCUUUCAACCUAAAAAGGACCUUUAGAGGAUGAAAAAGCCAUGAUUACCCCAUAUAUCCAAGGAGGUAACUUUGAGAAUGGGCUUGAUCUAGCUACCAUGAGACCCGUAGAUUACAUCAUGUCAGCUGUAGAUCCUUCAUGGGACUGUGAAUUCAUAAAGCAAAUAUUGUGGCUCCAGAACUAACCUGCAACUAUUUUAUUCAACCUCUGAAUCAUUGCUCAUAACCAGCCUCACACCACAUAAUCCAUUGUGGUUGACUGAGCAAUAGAGGCCACCUACCAUGUGUGAUACUUCUGGUUGAUGAAACCACAAGAACAGUUAGGGAGGGUGACUUAUAUGGAUGGACAAAGCAAACCCAUUGUCUCUCUUCAAAAAGAACAUGAAAGUGGUGGCAACCAGAACAGUGCCUAGACCUAUGGUAGGGUAGACCUAUGGUAUGGUAGACCUAUGGUACUGGAUCAAAGAGGCUCCAACCUCAGCAAGAUCUCUGACGGAUCUCCAUCUCUCUGUCUUCUGCUGCAAGCUGAGCAAGUACACCCGGCCUCGCUGUACAUGUGCCAGAAGGAGUGGGACAAAUAGGUGGAGAUUUUAGUAGAGAUUCUGGUCAGGUUGGAGCCUCUUUGGGUCUUCAGUGAAACCACAAUGGGUGUGAUUGCAGCCUGGACUGUGUGACGAUUCUUGGGCCUAGCACCACCCAGUUGACAAGUAGAAGGUAAUAUGUAUACAGUUUGCAUGUGAAUAUAAUGUUAUUUAGUAUCAGACAGUUAAUGCUAACAAGCUGCAUAACAUGGUGGUUGGAGUUAUGUCAG